rnacentral:rRNA from 1 species
UACGAAGGGUGCUAGCGUUGCUCGGAAUCACUGGGCGUAAAGCGCACGUAGGCGGCUCUUUAAGUCAGGGGUGAAAUCCUGGAGCUCAACUCCAGAACUGCCUUUGAUACUGCGGAUCUCGAGUCCGGAAGAGGUGAGUGGAACUCCGAGUGUAGAGGUGAAAUUCGUAGAUAUUCGGAAGAACACCAGUGGCGAAGGCGGCUCACUGGUCCGGUACUGACGCUGAGGUGCGAAAGCGUGGGGAGCAAACAGG